rnacentral:rRNA from 1 species
GACGAACGCUGGCGGCGUGCCUAAUACAUGCAAGUAGAACGCUGAAGGAGGAGCUUGCUUCUCUGGAUGAGUUGCGAACGGGUGAGUAACGCGUAGGUAACCUGCCUGGUAGCGGGGGAUAACUAUUGGAAACGAUAGCUAAUACCGCAUAAUAGUAGAUGUUGCAUGACAUUUGCUUAAAAGGUGCAAUUGCAUCACUACCAGAUGGACCUGCGUUGUAUUAGCUAGUUGGUGGGGUAACGGCUCACCAAGGCGACGAUACAUAGCCGACCUGAGAGGGUGAUCGGCCACACUGGGACUGAGGCACGGCCCAGACUCCUACGGGAGGCAGCAGUAGGGAAUCUUCGGCAAUGGACGGAAGUCUGACCGAGCAACGCCGCGUGAGUGAAGAAGGUUUUCGGAUCGUAAAGCUCUGUUGUAAGAGAAGAACGAGUGUGAGAGUGGAAAGUUCACACUGUGACGGUAUCUGACCAGAAAGGGACGGCUAACUACGUG